GGCACUUUCGGUGGCACCUUCGGUGGCCGAAAGUCCCUCUCCAGAGACGAAAGUCAGGCACUUUCGGCGGCCGAACCUUCCUUCGGUGGCCGAAAGUCUGCUUUCAAGCCAAAACUCAACUUUCGGGGGCAAGGUUAGGCGGCCAAUCUAUGCAUCCAUAGGCAGGUUCGGCGGCCGAAACUACCUUCGGCGGCCGAACCUACCUUCGGCGGCCAAACCUGAGUUCAUCCAGAACUCAGCCUCUUAUGCAUUCAAGCCUCCCAAACCUUCUAAACACCCCAAACCAAGCACCCAACCUCCUAAAACAUGCAUAACCCUUAACCAUGCACACAGGAGCUUAAACAAGCUUAAACUCCAACAAAGAACAUCAAAAAGCAUACUUAAAUAGCUUAUGACCCACAUAAGCCAAAAUCAACAAAACCACUCAAAACUUCACUUGCUCUUUCCCAAUCAUGCAUACACUCUCCCACAUGCAUAAACUAGCUUAAACCUUCAACAUAACAUCACAUAAACAGACAUCAACAGGCAUAAGCAUACAUUAAUAUACAUUGGGCAUAAAACCCACAUAAACCUAAAUAUGCAUAUCUACCCAUACUCAACCAUUAAAAAUCCAAUAAACUUACUUAAAACUUCAUUAAACACAAAGGAAGCAAAGAUCUACACUUACCUCUUGAAGAUCGAGGGUUGGUGCGAUCCCUAACUCGGAGGUGUGGAGGAUCCAAGCUCCAACAAUCUCCAAGCUCCCAAAACUCCUACUUAAGCUUCAAAUCUUUAAACACAAGGGUAGAACUCAUGAAAACUUGAGGGAUGGGUAGAGAAAACAUGAAAAUGACCAAAGGAAGGCAAAGACCCACCUGAGCUCGAGAAUGGGGAGAAAACUCGCCCAUUUCCGAUCUGAGGGCUCUUUAUAGGUGGCCUGGUCAAAGACCUUCGGCAGCCUAACGUGCCCCCUAAACUCAUGCAUGUUCGGCGGCCGAACCUUGGUUCGUUCAAACAAAGCUUUCGGAGGCCAAAAGCGCUCCCAAAACCUUUCCAUGUUCGGCGGCCGAACUUCACUUUCGGCGGCCGAACCUGGCAAACGCCUCCUUGGUCUUUUCUUUUCAAAACUCAAUUCCUUUCCAUUUAAAACCAUAAAAUCAGUAAAAACAUUUUAGAAAACACAUUUUACCCCUCUAGAAGCCUCUGGCAUCUUCAGAAUUCCAGAUUCCAACGGAGAUUCUGCCGGAAGGUAGGGAUUCCGAUGCCGGAAGGUAGGGAUUCCGAUGCCGGAAUCUAGCUGGGUAUUACAUUCUUCCCCCCUUUAAGAACAUUCAUCCCCGAAUGUUCAACAAACAAACAGGCAAUCUCAAAACAUAGCAUCAAUCAUACAUAAACAAGCAAGCAAACAAGCAAGCAAAGCCUAAAAACCUCUCUCCUAAAAGAGAGACACACGGGUACUGCUGGAGUAAGAACUCUCGGGUCUUCCAGGCACACCUUUUACCAAAAGAAACACCUUAGCAAUACCCAACCUUCUCCUAAACUCCACUGGCUUCCGCUGCGCUUCUCUGAUCCUUACUCUUUUCUCUUCAUCUUCACUAACUGGCUUCUUCUCACUGCUAACCCAAAACUAACUCUUCCUCUCACAGGUAGUACCCGGAUUUCAGAUCUAUCUUGGAAAACAAAUAGCUCCUACUAGCUGUCCCAAUAGAUCAUCCAUCCUGCAUGGAAAUACCUGCCCUUGGUAGUGACCUUGGUCAACUGCUUACAGUUGUUACAAAGUCUCAAGGAUUCAUCCUUCUUUUCCCACCACCACACUGGAACAAUCCAGGGUGAGGUACUAGGUCGGAUAAAACCCCUGUCUACUAAGUCUCGCCUCUACUCUGACUACUACCUUUCUCUAUGCUGGCGCCAUCCUGUAGGGGAGAAUAGAAAUGGUUCUAGGUCCAGACACCACUCCUAUGCUCAACUCUAACUCCCUGAUAGGUGGUAAACCUGACAACUAGCCUAGGAAAACAACUAAGAACUCUCUCUAACAACUAACACUGAGGCUAGUUCCCCGACCUGACUGCUAAACUCUCAACAAGAACUCGAACCCUCUGACAACCCCUCCUACGCACCCUACGAACCUGACAGGCUGACAUCAAACCUCUAGGCAUCCCUACUGUGUUCCCUCAACAGACUACCUCUGACCCAUCCUGUCCUCUGAACUUGACUACCUUGUCUCUACAGACCAAGAUAGCACCACGAGCAGAAACCAAUCCAUCCCUCGGUUGACGUCCAGACAGUCAAGUCUAGGACCUCAAAGUCGGGUGGAAGGCAUCUACCCUCAACUGACACUGAACUGGACCGGCAGACUGACUCUGCCACAGAUGGAUCACACUUGGGUCCACUAACCCAAAGAGAACACUCUAGCCUAGAAGCUAUUAACUCAACCGCUCGACGGCUCCUAGAGCAACUAAAGAAAGAGAAACUCCAGGGUUCACAAAACAUACACAUCAGAACAUUCAAAAGUGAGCGUACCUGGCACCACCAUGUUCGAUGUGUCUGCCUCCUGCUGAGCUUGGGUGAAGAUCCGAGCUGAAGCUAACGGACCUUCUCCACGGGAACCUUCAAAAGAAAAGGCUGACCCUCUUCCUCUGCCUCGACCACUAACCUGAACCAUGGCUGGAGCUACUGGCUGAGCCGCUCUACCUGAAGUUGCCCGCUGAGACUGUGCCAACCAGGGCGCAAUGGGACACUCACGUACCAUAUGCCCUUCCUGACCGCAUCUAAAACAUAGAUUAGUCCCAAUCAGACAGACUCCCUUGUGCGGCCUUCCGCACCUCAUGCAUCUUGAACUGCCUGAGCCAGAGCUUGAGCCACCAAAACCCAGACUAGCCUUCAAAUUCUUCCAAAACUUCUUCUUCUUCCCCCUCAGGGUUCUGCCCCACUUCUUGCUUUUCGUGGAGGCUGUACUCAGAGUGGAGGGAUCAAUCCCUCCUGAACCCGAGAUUCUGGAAUCCUGAGUCCGAGCAUCCUCCUGAGAAUCUCCCAUACCUUCUUCUGGCACUCUGAUUCCCAAACUGACAUCCCUUCUCUGAACAUCCAACUCCACUUCCCUCAUACUAGCUGACAUCCUUCUUGGAGCCAUUCCUUCUCUGCUUACAUCAAAAGACCUUCCAGGGUCCCUUGAUGUUCCCCAUCUGCUGACUCCCUAUGACUGCGCUCUUGGCAGAACAGGGGGAAAGGCGUCCAUACCUUCCCUUUCAGAUGGAACUCCAGUCGAUUCCACAGAUCGACGAGCACCUCGCAUUCUGGCUCCUCUGAAGAACAACACACAAGCAUACAAUCAAUCAUUAGCAUCAUACGGUUCAUAUGAAAACACAUAAACCUGCAACAUACAUAGCAUACAUAGUAUAACAUACAUAACAUUAAUGCACAUGCAUAACAUCAUAGCAUUUCACAUCAUCAUACAAGACAGGACUCCACAUCCUAUCCUAGUGGACAUGAUUCUUCCUAUUGUGCUUGCCCUUCUAUGACCUCUAAACCAACCUCGUUCCGAUGUGGGAUACCUCUAAUCCUUGAGCAUCUUUGCUCAACACACCGUACUGAUGAGGCCCAAAGCUCUGAUACCACUCUGUAAUGACCCGAAAAUCGAUACCCUUCUGUAACGGCCCGAACCGCUACCGGCGCUAGGAUCCAGAUCGGCUUAAGGCCGCCGGGACCCGUAGCAAGCCAAACAUACCUCCUAUCACCUGGUCAAAUCCCAUACAUGAUCAAAACUUUAACAUAAAAACUUAAACAUAUGAUGUAUAUACCGAGCCUGACCUGUAUGCGACAUAACUGAAAACAUAAAGAAACCCCCUACUAGAGCCCUCAUCAAAACUCAAGCUGGGUCAACAUAACAUACAUCAAGCCGGAGACACAUCCAAUGAACUAGAACCUAACCUGUGCAUGCAUCAAACCACAAACAUAAGACCUCCACUAGGGUCCUCAUCAAACUCUAGCGUGGUAAACAACACAUGCCACAAGAUUAGUUCAAACACAACUCAACAUUAAACCAAUACAUACAUCAUGUACUAAAAAGGGACUAACCAAGUCUUAAGGCCAAGCACAGUACUAAUACAUAAACACAACUCUACUAUACUUGCAUUACAUUACAUUAUCUUACAAUCCAUUAUAUCAAUUUAUAAUACAUGUCCACACUAAAAGUACUAAUCUAUUACUAUAGCAAGACUUUUACCCUUGACAUCUUCCUGGACUACCUCUGACCUGCAAAACUGGGGUUAGGGGAGAGGGGUGAGCUAAAAAGCCCAGUGAGUAGAAACAGGGAAAACAUUUCAUUAAUUACAUGCUCUUAUGAAAUGCGUCACAGCACAAACAAUUCAUAUAACGGAUUGGACAUGACCACCAAAACUCCCUCUGACUGUAACAUAACAUGGUGCCCGGCCCUUCGGGCUCCUCAGGACUUCAUUAUGCCCGGCCCUUCGGGCUCCUCAAGACUUCAUUAACAUAACAUAUCUAGGGCUAUUGGGGUCGCCUUGGUCCAACCACAUCAACAGUAAAUAAUGCAAUGCGUCAUAUUCGUGUAACUAGUGCAAUCAACCUAUUACAUAUAAACAUGAUGCAUGAACAUGCUUUAGGCAUUUGAAUUUCGUAAAAUAAAAGAUUUAGUUUCGUUCUACUCACCUCUGGCAGACGCUGAACUGACUCUGCAACUGCUAACACUGAUGGCCUCCUCGGUCCCUCGGGUCCGAUCCUACACAGGUGGACUCGAAUGAGGAGCCAAACAUACUCUAACAACUCAUAAACAACUACCCAAAAACCCCCUAAAACAUCACUAAAACAUCACUUAAACAUGCAUAGAAAACAACCAUGAAAAGGCUGGACAGGGCACUUUCGGCGGCACCUUCGGCGGCCGAAAGUCCCUCUCCAGAGACGAAAGUCAGGCACUUUCGGCUGCCGAACCUUCCUUCGGCGGCCGAAAGUCUGCUUUCAAGCUAAAACUCAACUUUCGGGGGCAAGGUUAGGCGGCCAAUCUAUGCAUCCAUAGGCAGGUUCGGCGGCCGAACCUGAGUUCAUCCAGAACUCAGCCUCUUAUGAAU
rnacentral:lncRNA from 1 species